AAGCGCUGAAGUAAGGGAGUGUGCCGGUGGCAUUGCCUUAUGGAGCUUUCGGGAGGGGUUGUGAAGAGAAACCUCAAGCCGGCGUAGGCGCAAAGCCGAAAGAAAAUGCUCCGA
rnacentral:sRNA from 12 species